UCACCCAAAAUCGCCUCUCUGAUCUUUUUCUUUUUCAUCUUUGCCGAGUUUAAUGGCCGAGUUUCAUCAAAUGCGUCUUCAUUAGACCACCAUAAUAAUCAAACCCUAGAGUUCCCAAAGCCCAAAACCCCAAGGACAGUUCCGUCGGUCUUUCCGGCACUUCGCCAGCACUUCUUCAAGGACAGUUGCUGCUCCGGCACUUCUCCCGCACUCCUUCCCCAAAUUCCCAAAUUAAUUUAUUGUUAAGAGCGUUUUCUUUUGGAUUUUCAGGCGGUAACCUUAGAUCUGUUGCUUCAUCUGGUGCAGUUUGCAGUCAAUUUUAGAGAAAACAAAAAGCUUGAGGAAUCAGAGGCAAAAAGGAAAUGGUGUCGUACGUGAGCUUGUUGCUGUAUGGAGUGGGAGGUAUAGUGGUGGCGGGGAUGGCAAUAUGGUUGCAUUUCAGGAAAAACUUGUCUACGUGCCGGUGCUGCCUGGACUCACAAAGUCAUAUCCAAUUACUCUGGCUCGGCUUCGGCUCUUUUACAAAGAUGUGUGGCUCAGAUCUUCUGAUGGAGUUCGCCUUCAUGCUUGGUUCAUUAAGCUUUUCCCUACUGUAGAGGCAACAAAGGAGCAGGUAGGACACCAUUGAACUGGGAAACAAGAGCUGGCAUUGCUCUUGGAACUGCACACGGGAUUGCCUAUCUUCACGCACAAGGCCCCUCCGUUUCACAUGGCAACAUUAAGGCGUCCAACAUCCUCCUCACCAAAUCAUACGAGGCCCGUGUUUCAGAUUUUGGUCUUGCUCAACUUGUCGGUCCAUCAUCAAAUCCUAACCACGUUGCAGGUUACAGGGCACCAUAGGUAACAGACCCUCGUAAAGUCUCCCGAAAAGCAGAUGUUGUUAUACACACACAUAUCUACACUUUGUUCAUUAUGUAGACUAGAAACUAAUCAUGCUCUACCCAUCUUCAAUAGUAUACCCAGUUGAAACCUGAGUUUGCAUAAUCUUAAUCCAUUAUCACAUACUCUUGAUCUUCAUCCACCAUUAGUUCAUUACAUCCAGUUCAUGCAUAGGAGAAAGGAUUGGUAUCUAAAAGAAUGCAGUAGUAGUCUACUCUUCUACUGAAUCUUUAUUGGUAUUAAAAAUCACAUUACCUCCACAUGCCAAGUAACGUUAUUUUGGGGUGUGGCACAAAAUCUCCCUUUCCUUAAUUUAGCUUCAUGGUUUGAUGUGAAUAACACAUCUAGAUUCUGGUAAUUCUAUUGGUAUUCUUCAGUUGAUCCAGUUUCUUAGACGAUCCUGAAUUGAUAUGCCUUGAGUAUGGUUUUCUUGUUUGAUAUCCAGUUCCUUGCUUAUGGAUUUCUUGUUUGAUGUGUGAGGUAGCGUCUGAUUAAUUUUUGAGCUGGUUUUGCUGCCGAUGAUGUAUAGUUGAUUAAGCAUGUAUCUUGGUCAAGCUGUGCAUAAGAAUAGAGUCCUCGUCAUUUUGUUUUGUGGAAUCUCUAUGCACCACCUUUUUGUUACUUUUUUUAAUGUCUCUCUUUCUGGGUUUUAUUCCAGAGUUUUUCGAUUCCAAGGUGUUUAAACUGCUGAAGGUGUUUAUAACUUGUACAUGUUUUUGACAUUCUUGAUGAGGCGAAACAAUGGAUUUUUGAAUCAGUUUGUAGUGCUUGGAAAAAAUAUAAGAGUCAAUUGAAGACAACUCACUUCACAUCCUAUGAGAAUGAUGAGCUUCGAAUGGAGAAUAGGUCAGUAGAUAUUCCGGAAUCUCACUUUAAGGAUCUUCUUAAAUAUUAGAACUCCGAUCCUCACAAGGUAAUUACAUCCAGAAUCUCUUGUCUUGUUUUAACAUAAUUGUUUUUUGGUGCACGAGUCAAAAGAAUCAGAAGUAAAAUCCAUUUUGCUGCCCAUAUGUGCCAAACUAGGUUGUAUAAAGAAUAUACCUAUCUUGGUAUAAUGUAAAAUACCAAACUCCAAAUAUACCAAACUAGGUUGUAUAAAGAAUUACAGACUCAAUGUAAUAAUGUAAUCUAGCAUAUACCUAUCUUGGUAAUUGCUUCAAUUGCUAGCUGUUUUGGUUGAAGCAACUAGGUUGGUUAUGGUUCAAAUCUUGUUGAAUUCAAAGGGAAUUAGUUUUAACCCUAUAGCUACUUUAUACUAUGUUGCACCUAGUUGUCAAAAGAAUCAGAAGUAAAAGAAUCAUAAGCCUUACAAUUAAAAUGGUUUAGAUGUUGAUAGAUGCAUUCAAGAAUACUUAUAAUUCGAGGACUAGAAGGUGAGUUUUUAAUGGGUCACAUGCUGGUUCCAGGCCAAUUUGGUGGAAUAUUCACAUGCUUGAAGGGUAAUAACUUUAUUUAUCCUCUUUUGUAGGUGGAGUAGAUCAAGAAAUGGAUGAUGAAGACGAUGAAGAACUAGACCUUACUUGAAAUGAAUUUUGAAUUGUUAUAGAUGAAUGUUCUAGGAAUCUUUUGUUACCAACAUUUUUGAACUUAUUUACUCUCUUGAAAUAUACUAAACUUAUGCACUCAUGGGGUAGAACAUUUGCUUUAUGGAUAUUA